rnacentral:rRNA from 1 species
AUACGGAGGAUCCGAGCGUUAUCCGGAUUUAUUGGGUUUAAAGGGUGCGCAGGCGGCCAUUUAAGUCAGCGGUUAAAUCGUGGGGCUCAACCCCAUUCUGCCGUUGAUACUGGGUGGCUUGAUUGCGGUCGAGGUUGGCGGAAUUCGUUGUGUAGCGGUGAAAUGCAUAGAUAUGACGAAGAACACCGAUUGCGAAGGCAGCCUGCUGGACUGUAACUGACGCUGAUGCUCGAAAGUGUGGGUAUCAAACAGGAUUAGAUACCCUGGUAGUCCACACAGUAAACGAUGAAUACUCGCUGUUUGCGAUAUACAGUAAGCGGCCAAGCGAAAGCGUUAAGUAUUCCACCUGGGGAGUACGACCGCAAGGUUGAAACUCAAAUGAAUUGGCGGGG